rnacentral:rRNA from 1 species
GACGAACGCUGGCGGCGUGCUUAACACAUGCAAGUCGAACGAAGUGGCGAACGGGUGAGUAACGCGUAAUCAACCUGCCCUUCAGAGGGGUACAACAUUUGGAAACGACUGCUAAUCCCGCAUACUGAAGGAGGGGAUUGCGUCUGAUUAGUUAGUUGGAGGGGUAACGGCCCACGAUGGCGAUGAUCAGUAGCCGUGCUGAGAGGAUGAACGGGCACAUUGGGACUGAGACAGGGCCCAGACUCCUACGGGAGGCAGCAGGGGGGAAGAUUCGGCAAUAGACGAAAGUCUGACGGAGCAACGCCGCGUGAGGGAGGACGGCCUUCGGGUUGUAAAGCUCUGUUAAUCGGGGCGCGGUACCGGAAUAGAAAGCCACGGCUAACUACGUGCCAGCAGCCGCGGUAAUAC